rnacentral:rRNA from 1 species
AGAGUUUGAUCAUGGCUCAGGAUGAACGCUGGCGGCGUGCCUAAUACAUGCAAGUCGAACGGAGAGUGAUACUUCGGUAGAAACUCUUAGUGGCGAACGGGUGAGUAACGCGUUGGUGACCUGCCCCGAAGAGGGGGAUAACAGCUCGAAAGGGCUGCUAAUACCCCAUGUGGUCUCGAAGGUUAGAGGCUUUGAGACGAAAGGGAGCAAUCCGCUUCGGGAGGGGUCUGCGUCCCAUCAGCUAGUUGGUAGGGUAAAGGCCUACCAAGGCAAAGACGGGUAGGGGACCUGAGAGGGUGACCCCCCACAAUGGAACUGAAACACGGUCCAUACACCUACGGGUGGCAGCAGUAGGGAAUAUUGCACAAUGGGCGAAAGCCUGAUGCAGCAACGCCGCGUGCGCGAUGAAGGCCUUCGGGUUGUAAAGCGCUUUUCGGGGAGAUGAGGAAGGACAGUAUCCCCGGAAUAAGGCUCGGCUAACUACGUGCCAGCAGCCGCGGUAAAACGUAGGAGUCAAGCGUUAUCCGAAUUUACUGGGCGUAAAGCGCGUGUAGGCGGCUCUGUAAGUUGGAUGUGAAAGCUCCCGGCUCAACUGGGAGAGGACGUUCAAUACUGCAGAGCUAGAGGGCGACAGAGGGAGGUGGAAUUCCCGGUGUAGUGGUGAAAUGCGUAGAUAUCGGGAGGAACACCAGUGGCGAAGGCGGCCUCCUGGGUCGCACCUGACGCUCAGACGCGAAAGCUAGGGGAGCAAACGGGAUUAGAAACCCCGGUAGUCCUAGCUGUAAACGAUGUAACUUGGUGUUGGUGGGGUAAAAGCCAUCAGUGCCGUAGCAAACGCGAUAAGUCUACCGCCUGGGGACUACG